GUGAGGAAUAUUGCGCAAUGGACGAAAGUCUGACGCAGCAACGCCGCGUGGGCGAUGAAGCUCUUUUGAGUGUAAAGCCCUGUUAGGUGGGAAGAAAGAUCAGCCAUCCGGCUGGUCUGACGGUACCUCCAGAGAAAGCUCCGGCUAACUCCGUGCCAGCAGCCGCGGUAAUACGGGGGGAGCAAGCGUUGUCCGGAUUCAUUGGGCGUAAAGGGCGCGUAGGCGGGUCUAUAAGUGAGUGGUGAAAGCCUGGGGCUUAACUCCAGAAUUGCCUUUCAUACUGUAGAUCUCGAGUUCGGGAGAGGAAGAUGGAAUUCCUGGUGUAGCGGUGGAAUGCGUAGAUAUCAGGAGGAACACCAGUGGCGAAGGCGAUCUUCUGGCCCGAUACUGACGCUGAGGCGCGAAAGCGUGGGGAGCAAACAGGAUUAGAAACCCGUGUAGUCC
rnacentral:rRNA from 1 species